AUAGGAGCUGACGCCUGCCCGGUGCUGGAAGGUUAAGGGGAUCUGUUAGAGCAAUCGAAGCAGUGAACUUAAGCCCCAGUAAACGGCGGCCGUAACUAUAACGGUCCUAAGGUAGCGAAAUUCCUUGUCGGGUAAGUUCCGACCCGAACGAAAGGCGUAACGAUUUGGGCACUGUCUCAACAACAGACUCGGUGAAAUUGUAAUUCCGGUGAAGAUGCCGGAUACCUGCGACAGGACGGAAAGACCCCAUGGAGCUUUACUGUAGCUUGACAUUGGGUCUUGGUACUACAUGUACAGGAUAGGUGGGAGGCUUUGA
rnacentral:rRNA from 1 species